rnacentral:rRNA from 1 species
GAUGAACGCUGGCGGCGUGCCUAAUACAUGCAAGUCGAGCGAACGGACGAGAAGCUUGCUUCUCUGAUGUUAGCGGCGGACGGGUGAGUAACACGUGGAUAACCUACCUAUAAGACUGGGAUAACUUCGGGAAACCGGAGCUAAUAUCGGAUAAUAUUUUGAACCGCAUGGUUCAAAAGUGAAAGACGGUCUUGCUGUCACUUAUAGAUGGAUCCGCGCUGCAUUAGCUAGUUGGUAAGGUAACGGCUUACCAAGGCAACGAUGCAUAGCCGACCUGAGGGGGUGAUCGGCCACACUGGAACUGAGACACGGUCCAGACUCCUACGGGAGGCAGCAGUAGGGAAUCUUCCGCAAUGGGCGAAAGCCUGACGGAGCAACGCCGCGUGAGUGAUGAAGGUCUUCGGAUCGUAAAACUCUGUUAUUAGGGAAGAACAUAUGUGUAAGUAACUGUGCACAUCUUGACGGUACCUAAUCAGAAAGCCACGGCUAACUACGUG